rnacentral:rRNA from 1 species
GAGGCGAACCGGGGGAACUGAAACAUCUAAGUACCCCGAGGAAAAGAAAUCAACCGAGAUUCCGAAAGUAGCGGCGAGCGAAAUUGGACUAGCCCUUAAGCUUUACACGCGUUAGACGAACGGUCUGGAAAGUCCGACGAUACAGGGUGAUAGUCCCGUAGUUGACGACGUGUGUUCAGUGAAAUCGAGUAGGGCGGGACACGUGAUAUCCUGUCUGAAUAUGGGGGGACCAUCCUCCAAGGCUAAAUACUACUGACUGACCGAUAGUGAACCAGUACCGUGAGGGAAAGGCGAAAAGAACCCUUGUCCUGUGACUGCGUACCUUUUGUAUAAUGGGUCAGCGACUUAUAUUCAGUGGCAAGGUUAACCAUCUAGGGGAGCCGUAGGGAAACCGAGUCUUAACUGGGCGUUCAGUCUCUGGAUAUAGACCCGAAACCAGGUGAUCUAGCCAUGGGCAGGUUGAAGGUUGAGUAACAUCAACUGGAGGACCGAACCGACUAAUGUUGAAAAAUUAGCGGAUGACUUGUGGCUAGGGGUGAAAGGCCAAUCAAACCUGGAGAUAGCUGGUUCUCCCCGAAAGCUAUUUAGGUAGCGCCUCGGACGAAUACUACUGGGGGUAGAGCACUGUUAAGGCUAGGGGGUCAUCCCGACUUACCAACCCUUUG